rnacentral:rRNA from 1 species
UACGUAGGGUGCGAGCGUUGUCCGGAAUUAUUGGGCGUAAAGAGCUCGUAGGCGGUGUGUCGCGUCGGCCGUGAAAACCUGGGGCUCAACUCUGGGCGUGCGGUCGAUACGGGCAUCACUUGAGUUCGGCAGGGGAGACUGGAAUUCCUGGUGUAGCGGUGAAAUGCGCAGAUAUCAGGAGGAACACCGGUGGCGAAGGCGGGUCUCUGGGCCGAUACUGACG